GCCUAACCCUAGUUACCUUUCUCCCAUCUCCUGUACCAACCAUAGCCGCCACUUCACCUUCCUCCUCUCGCCGCUCCAUGUCGGUGCCGACGCCGACGGCGCCGGCCCUGAACCACACCGCGUCGAGCCCCUCCACAUCUAUACUGCCCGGGAGCCCUCCCCAUUCCACGGCUCUCCCCAUUCAGAUCGGCCCCUCGAGUUAUUGCAUCCCAGUCAUACCCCUCGAUCUGGGGCGGCAGCGGUGGCGGGGGGACCAACUGCCAGAUUUGGACGGCCCUGAGGUCGCUGGCGGCGUGCAUUGAUCCAGCUCCAUCUGGCGGUGAGCUGAGGUGAGGUACAACCGUACAGGAGGUGGCAACACAGCCACGGAUGCAGAGUACAUCGGCGACCUGUGGCUCGGUCCAAUUGUCCGUCAGCCGCCCCACCGUCGCUCCCCUAAUCGUCGUGGUCGUCUUCUCCAUCCGUGGUGCGCAGCCUCCUCUAUGCGUCGCCGUUCACCUUCUCCAACCGGAAAGACCCAAGGAGUACAGAGUACCACCAGGACGAGCAAAACACUUGGGGCAGAACACCGGCCAUGGAUUGAUCCAGCCGUACCUGUUAAAGGAUGGCUGGAGGCCUCGUUGGCCAUGUUGAACCAGUACAGAGAAAACAUCUGGGCGUCUGCCUUGUUCGACAUUAAAACGAACAGCAAGGGCAGAAGCACCACUGAGGGUUACUCGUUCAUUACUGAUUGUUUGUGCUUUGUUCCUUUCUAGUCACAUUGUGAAGCACAUUCAUUUUUUGUACUGCAAACAAAAAGUAUUAGGCAAAUCUCUGUUCUUGUUGCAGUUCAAGCAUUGUUUUGUAGUUGUACACUUAUAAUUCAGAGUAAUGGCCUGCAAGAUUUAUCCUGUCAGCUUUUAGUAUUAAGAAACUCAUACCAUUUUAUAUCUAACUGAAGAAAAACUCAUAUUUGCAGAUUCUGUAGGUACAUUUUACUGCAGUGUCCAAUGUUUCUGCAUGCACAUAAUGGUGAUGGAUCCCACACCGGUCAGUGCAUCUAAUGGUCUUUGUACAGCUAAAAACAUUUUUCACUUGGUGAUGAUAUCUGCACUGCCCUUGCCUGCAUAAUUUGAAUAUCUCACAUGGACUAGAAACAUUUUUUUACUUGGUGAUGAUAUCUGCACAUCCCUUUCCUGAACAUGCCCUUUAUGUUAUUCAUACACUUUACUCAAGCAUCUAUUUGCCCUUAUGUUCUGCUAGGGCUCAAUGUUUUCUGGAAGUAAGCUUGACUGAAAAUACACGUAAUUCAAUGCUUGUUCUUCCAACUAAAAAUUCAGUUCAUGAUUCUGGUCCUAUACUUACUGAAAUGAUUACUAUAGAGGUCAAAAAGCUUUCAAAUUCAAGAAUAAGGAGAGUAUUUUCUGUUUUCUUUCCGCCAAUUUCUUUUCAUAUAAAUAUGACAUUUAUUGUUUAUAGUUAAUGGGCUUGUUUUAGCUAUGCAGUUUUCAACCUAUAUGAUUUCUGGUUAUUGGAUAAUAAACUUUCAUGUAGCUCUCGACUGCCCACACAUGUAGCUGUACAAUUUAAUCUCUAGAUACAUCAUACAAGCAAAUUCUACCUCCCUGUCUCCUUCUAUAGGUACCUAAAAUACUUGACAAAGAAGCGAAAUGACAAACAAGCCGCUUGAAGUUCCAUGUGCUGUGUCAAAUCUUAUUUUUUUGUACAAUGAAUCAAAACUCUUAGUGCUCUAAUUCCUGUGCAAUGCUUUGUGCCAAAAUCAUAUAAUUGCAAUGUACUUAACUGCUACUUAGCGACUUGAAAAGGCAACAAUCUUGAAAAAUCUAAUGAAGAAGAUAACAUUUAUUUUGUGGUGCACCCAUUUUUCUUGUUGUGCACAUGUAGAUAGAUGACUAGUUACUCUGGAUUUAUUUCGGAGCUCGCUGUAUUACUUAUAUAGUUUUGUAUGUGUUUUGUACUUUAUGCAAGUUUUUAGCAGGAAUUACUUGGGUCUGAAUAGCUUCCUGAAAGCAUUGGUGGUGUAUUGUUGGACAUUAAAAUCAGCUAGUGGCGCAUAUUUUAAUGGUAAUUGAGAUAGAACAAAAGACACUUGAGUUUGGUUUAGAAGGGUUACUCCACUUGGAUAGCACAGUGAUACUACUGUCAACACGAUACACAUAUUAUGUGUAUCUAAAUGUCCAGUGUGACUGAUUUGUAAUUUUAAUAUGUUAUUUUGAUCAGAAUUUUGUAGUUGUGCACUCCAGUAUUGUUUUUUUGCUAAACAGA